rnacentral:rRNA from 1 species
UACGAAGGGGGCUAGCGUUGUUCGGAAUUAAUGGGCGUAAAGCGCACAUAGGCGGAUUAGUAAGCCAGGGGUGAAAUCCCGGGGCUCAACCUCGGAACUGCCUUUGAUACUGCUGAUCUCGAGUCCGGAAGAGGUGAGUGGAAUUCCUAGUGUAGAGGUGAAAUUCGUAGAUAUUAGGAAGAACACCAGUGGCGAAGGAGGCUCACUGGUCCGGUACUGACGCUGAGUUGCGAAAGCUUGGGGAGCAAACAGG